CCAGCAGCCGCGGUAAUUCCAGCUCCAAUAGCGUAUAUUAAAGUUGUUGCAGUUAAAAAGCUCGUAGUUGGAUUUGUGGUUGUCUCGAGGAGUCCGGCAUUCGUGCUGGUACUUUAUAGAGUCGCCAUCCUUGGGUGGAAUCUGUGUGGCAUUAGGUUGUCGUGCAGGGGAUGCCCAUCGUUUACUGUGAAAAAAUUAGAGUGUUCAAAGCAGGCUUAUGCCGUUGAAUAUAUUAGCAUGGAAUAAUAAGAUAGGACCUUGGUACUAUUUUGUUGGUUUGCGCACCAAGGUAAUGAUUAAUAGGGACAGUUGGGGGUAUUCGUAUUCCAUUGUCAGAGGUGAAAUUCUUGGAUUUUUGGAAGACGAACUACUGCGAAAGCAUUUACCAAGGAUGUUUUCA
rnacentral:rRNA from 1 species